rnacentral:rRNA from 1 species
GACGAACGCUGGCGGCGUGCUUAACACAUGCAAGUCGAACGGAAAGGCCCUGCUUUUGUGGGGUGCUCGAGUGGCGAACGGGUGAGUAACACGUGAGUAACCUGCCCUUGACUUUGGGAUAACUUCAGGAAACUGGGGCUAAUACCGGAUAGGAGCUCCUGCUGCAUGGUGGGGGUUGGAAAGUUUCGGCGGUUGGGGAUGGACUCGCGGCUUAUCAGCUUGUUGGUGGGGUAGUGGCUUACCAAGGCUUUGACGGGUAGCCGGCCUGAGAGGGUGACCGGCCACAUUGGGACUGAGAUACGGCCCAGACUCCUACGGGAGGCAGCAGUGGGGAAUAUUGCACAAUGGGCGGAAGCCUGAUGCAGCAGCGCCGCGUGCGGGAUGACGGCCUUCGGGUUGUAAACCGCUUUCGCCUGUGACGAAGCGUGAGUGACGGUAAUGGGUAAAGAAGCACCGGCUAACUACGUGCCAGCAGCCGCGGUGAUACGUAGGGUGCGAGCGUUGUCCGGAUUUAUUGGGCGUAAAGGGCUCGUAGGUGGUUGAUCGCGUCGGAAGUGUAAUCUUGGGGCUUAACCCUGAGCGUGCAUUCGAUACGGGUUGACUUGAGGAAGGUAGGGGAGAAUGGAAUUCCUGGUGGAGCGGUGGAAUGCGCAGAUAUCAGGAGGAACACCAGUGGCGAAGGCGGUUCUCUGGGCCUUUCCUGACGCUGAGGAGCGAAAGCGUGGGGAGCGAACAGGCUUAGAUACCCUGGUAGUCCACGCUGUAAACGGUGGGUACUAGGUGUGGGGUCCAUUCCACGGGUUCCGUGCCGUAGCUAACGCUUUAAGUACCCCGCCUGGGGAGUACGGCCGCAAGGCUAAAACUCAAAGGAAUUGACGGGGCCCCGCACAAGCGGCGGAGCAUGCGGAUUAAUUCGGUGCAACGCGUAGAACCUUACCUGGGUUUGACAUGGAUCGGGAGUGCUCAGAGAUGGGUGUGCCUCUUUUGGGGUCGGUUCACAGGUGGUGCAUGGCUGUCGUCAGCUCGUGUCGUGAGAUGUUGGGUUAAGUCCCGCAACGAGCGCAACCCUUGUUCACUGUUGCCAGCACGUUAUGGUGGGGACUCAGUGGAGACCGCCGGGGUCAACUCGGAGGAAGGUGGGGAUGACGUCAAGUCAUCAUGCCCCUUAUGUCCAGGGCUUCACGCAUGCUACAAUGGCUGGUACAGAGAGUGGCGAGCCUGUGAGGGUGAGCGAAUCUCGGAAAGCCGGUCUCAGUUCGGAUUGGGGUCUGCAACUCGACCUCAUGAAGUCGGAGUCGCUAGUAAUCGCAGAUCAGCAACGCUGCGGUGAAUACUUUCCCGGG